GGGAGUCGUUCCCGUUACUCGCCGGAGAGGUGGGGCCGGAGGCACCGCCCGGAGCCACCCCCGCGCCCCGAUGAGGGCGGCAUCGACCCCCCACGACGGGACCAAGAAGCGGCUCCUCCUUGGCCUCCUUACUGAACUUCAAGAAGUUUAACUUCAGUGGCUCACAGCUGCUGCUGCCAUCAUCCAGUUCUGGCUUUGAAAAAGCAGGAAGUGUAAAACGGUAGCAAGAGAGGAUUAAGA